rnacentral:lncRNA from 1 species
GGGUGACAUGGGGACACACACACACAUGGGGACAGGGAGGGACGUGGGGUGACGGGGACACUGGGGGGACGUGGGGCCAAGGAGGGCAUGGGGUGAUGUGGGGCGAUUUGGGGACACGGGGUGACGUCGGGAUGGGGGAGCGCACCCAGGGGUGUCACCCACCCUCCGGUGUCCCCCACCCUCUGAUGUCACCCCUCUGGCAGUGUCCCCCACCCAAUGAUGUCCCCCAGCCCCUGUUGUCCCCCACCCUGCGGUGUCACCCACCCGCCACGGUGGCGGUGUGCCGGAAGGCCCUGAGGUGGCAGUCGCUCAUGGUGGUGAGCAGCGCCACGAGGCCGCCCAGCAGGAAGCCGUCGUACAGCGCGCCGUGCCGGCACCGCAGGGCCAGCGCCGCCACCAUGUCCCCAAACGUCACCCGGAAACGGCGCCAGCGUCGCGUCUGCAGGGACAGCGGGUAGGAGGCCGAGCCCUGGGGGGGUGAGGGGGGGACAUCAGGGGACCGUCCUUGUGACGGCUGGGGGCACCGCGGCCGUGGGGACAAGGACGGGGGGUGACAGGGGUGUGGGGACAUGAUGGAACCACCCUUGUGUCACCUGGAGUCACCGUGACCGUGGGGACAAGGACAGGGGGUGACAGGGAUGAGUGACAGGGGUGCGGUGACAUGAUAGAGCCAUCCUUGUGUCACCCCUUGUCACUGUGGCCAUGGGGACAAGGACAGAGGGUGACAGGGAUGAGUGACAGGGGUGUGGUGACACGAUGGAACCACCCUUGUGUCACCCGGAGUCACUGCGGCCGUGGGGACAAGGACGGGGGGUGACAGGGGUGUGGUGACAUGAUGGAACCAUCCUUGUGUCACCCGGAGUCACCGUGACCAUGGGGACAAGGACAGGGGGUGACAGGGAUGAGUGACAGGGGUGCGGUGACAUGAUAGAGCCAUCCUUGUGUCACCCCUUGUCACUGGGGCCAUGGGGAUAAGGACAGAGGGUGACAGGGAUGAGUGACAGGGACAGGGUGACACAGGGGUAGCAUCCUUGUGACAGCUGGGGACACUGCGGCCAUGGGAUAAGGACAGCAGGUGACAAGAAUGGGUG